UACGUAGGGGGCUAGCGUUUUCCGGAAUCAUUGGGCGUAAAGAGCGUGUCGGCGGCCAGACAGGUCCGUUGUGAAAACUCGAGGCUCAACCUCGAGAUGUCGAUGGAAACCGUCUGGCUAGAGUCCGGAAGAGGAGUGUGGAAUUCCUGGUGUAGCGGUGAAAUGCGCAGAUAUCAGGAAGAACACCUAUGGCGAAGGCAGCACUCUGGGACGGUACUGACGCUGAGACGCGAAAGCGUGGGGAGCGAACAGG
rnacentral:rRNA from 1 species